AGCAAGCACCGGCUAACUCCGUGCCAGCAGCCGCGGUAAUACGGAGGGUGCAAGCGUUACUCGGAAUCACUGGGCGUAAAGCGCGCGCAGGCGGCCAUUUAAGUUGGAUGUGAAAGCCUACGGCUCAACCGUAGAACUGCAUCCAAAACUAUUUGGCUAGAGUGUGGGAGAGGAAGAUGGAAUUAGUUGUGUAGGGGUAAAAUCCGUAGAGAUAACUAGGAAUACCAAAAGCGAAGGCAAUCUUCUGGAACAUUACUGACGCUGAGGCGCGAAAGCGUGGGGAGCAAACAGGAUUAGAUACCCUGGUAGUCCACGCCCUAAACGAUGAAUGUUAGUCGUCGGGUAGCUAGUCUAUUCGGUGAUGCAGCUAACGCAUUAAACAUUCCGCCUGGGGAGUACGGUCGCAAGAUUAAAACUCAAAGGAAUAGACGGGGACCCGCACAAGUGGUGGAGCAUGUGGUUUAAUUCGAAGAUACGCGAAGAACCUUACCUAGCCUUGACAUAUUUAAGAAUCCGAUAGAGAUAUUGGAGUGCCUUCGGGAGCUUUCUUACAGGUGCUGCACGGCUGUCGUCAGCUCGUGUCGUGAGAUGUUGAGUUAAGUCCCGCAACGAGCGCAACCCUCGUCACUAGUUACUAACGGUUCGGCCGAGGACUCUAGUGAGACUGCCUUCGUAAGGAGGAGGAAGGUGAGGACGACGUCAAGUCAUCACGGCCCUUACGGCUAGGGCAACACACGUGCUACAAUGGCCAGGACAGUGAGACGCGAUACCGUGAGGUGGAGCAAAUCUAUAAACCUGGUCUCAGUUCGGAUUGUAGUCUGCAACUCGACUACAUGAAGCUGGAAUCACUAGUAAUCGUAGAUCAGCUAU
rnacentral:rRNA from 1 species